CCUUAAAGAACCUGCCUUUGUAGUGCUCACACAGAUUGUCUGAUGAACGUAAAGAAGCAAGGCGUCUUGCGAUUGAGACUUCAGUGUCCCCUUCGUCUAGAGGCCCAGGACACCGCCCUUUCACGGCGGUAGCAGGGGUUCGAAUCCCCUAGGGGACGCCACUUGCUGGUUCGUGAGUGAAAGACGCGUGCCGAUGUAUCUCAAAACUCAUCUUCGGGUGACGUUUGAGAUAUUUGCUCUUUAAAAAUCUGGAUCAAGCUGAAAAUUGAAACGACACACAGUUAAUGUGUGUUCGAGUCUCUCAAAUUUUCGCAAUCAGAAGUGAAACAUCUUCGGGUUGUGA
rnacentral:misc_RNA from 1 species